CAGUAGCCGCGGUAAAACGUAGGGUGCGAGCGUUAAUCGGAAUUACUGGGCGUAAAGCGGGCGCAGACGGUUACUUAAGCAGGAUGUGAAAUCCCCGUGCUCAACCUGGGAACUGCGUUCUGAACUGGGUAACUAGAGUGUGUCAGAGGGAGGUAGAAUUCCACGUGUAGCAGUGAAAUGCGUAGAGAUGUGGAGGAAUACCGAUGGCGAAGGCAGCCUCCUGGGAUAACACUGACGUUCAUGCCCGAAAGCGUGGGUAGCAAACAGGAUUAGAUACCCGAGUAGUCCCUGUCUCUUAUAC
rnacentral:rRNA from 1 species